ensembl:lncRNA
GUGCAUAUUCACAGACUGCAAGGUUCAUUUCCAGAGCAUGGAGCACUCGUGGGAUGACUAAGGCACACUGAGGGAGAAAUAUUCAUUCAUUAGUUGCUGUUUGUAAUCCAAGUCGUGUUUAUUUGUUUGUGAUGAUUUUGGUCAUAGAAACAGUAAAACAGAGGCUCUGCUACCAUUCCUUUCUUAAAUCUGUAUUUAAAACCUAUGUAUAUCUUCACAGAUGAGGAUGAAGCUCAGUUACAACUCAGCGCGUGAUCCACCUGAGGAACCCACCAUGACUCCCCUCCAUCACACCCCAUGGCAUUACACUGAGGAGCACAGGGCAGCCAAGGCCCAGAUCUCCAUUUCAAAACCUGUCCAAGACAUUAGCAAGCUCUGGCUGAAACUCUCAGCUACAAACAGUGCUGGCUAAACAUAAAUGCCGCGGCAGUAGAACGAGAGGAUCCUUCUUCAUCUCCCCUUUUGGGCCACUAACACAGCAUGGAGCCAGACUCUGUAGUCCUAAGAGUGGAAGAGUGGGACUGCCUGGAUAAGAGAGGGCUUCCAGCUUGCUCUCAGCACUCCAUUGCCCUUAUUGUAGAUACAUAACUACAUAUUUGCUUUUCAGGCUCACAUUUGCACACAUCAUAGUCUGAAUAUGCUUUUAAUCUUCCAGUUAUAUUAGAAUUUUUGUUUAAAAACUGCGCAUGACACCCCACUAGACAUAUUUAUAACAAGGAAGGGCACAGGUUUCAAUCAUGGGUGAAGGAGCAGCGUUCUUCAUCUGUCAAUCAGUCCACGCUCAAAAUACGCUGAGCAUCAAUUGCUUUUUAGGUUAUUUACUGUGUCUUAUGUAUCUGCCAAUAAAUCUAAAAUACAGGUCGAAGAAUAUGCAGUUCAAGUAUAUCCAUAAGUGUAGCAGAAAAGCUUUGCUAACUACCUCUGAUUGCCAAAGCUGAGGUCAUUUCCUUGUUGUGAAAAAUACUGAGGUCCAUAAAUUAUUUUUAUCACCUCUGGGGCAAUGCAAACAGUUUCCCACAGAUGCUGAAAGUAUGAUAUGUUUUUUGUUUAAUAUCAGAGCACUACUUUUACACAGCUCUUAAAAUAUGAGGACCGAGGUACUGCUCGUGUUUUAAGGCCCCAAUUCAGCAACAUAUUAAAACAGAUACCUCAGGACCUGACAUUAAACACGUGCCAAAGUGCUUUGUUGCAUAGUCACAGAUUGCUGAACUGGAGCCUAAAGGCUUCAUCUUUUCCCCAUGAAAUUCAGAAUUUACCUUCCAAUUUCUUACGGGGGAAACAAGGCAUUUAUUCAAACACAAUAUCAAUAAACAUUUGGAAACGUUUUAAAAGGCUUGUCUUCAGGAGAUCAGGAGUGAGCAAUAGCUCUGGAGGUAAACCCUGAUGGAGAUAAAAGCUGACGAAACGUUUUCUUGCAACAGCCUAACUGGUGUUUAUUUAAAGCUUUAGUUAGCAUUGCUUUCACAAGGAAAAUAAAAAUACAUUGAACACAUUGAGAACAUAAGUAUGAGUGGUGAACCUCCUACAGAGAACUUUGGAGAAAACACUGAAUUAACUUACAGUACAUUUGUUAAACAUGAGCAGCUCUAAUAAUGACAUUUCAUUUAACAAUGCCCUUUGUCUUUUCAGUUCAUCAGUUACCUAUUUCAGUAAUGAACUGCAGUCAUACCAUUCUGAUUUUCUCCUAAUGUAAAGGCUGAGAUCACUUCACUUGCAGUGGAGCAUGAUGCUAUUAUUCAGUUUGUGGCUUAGGAAAAAAGCUAUAGAAUAUAUCACAAGUGUAAUUGGCCAACAAAUAUUAAAGUCUGUGAUUGGUAAGGGCACCUAUAAUUUAAUUUAGGUUUUAAUAGGAACAAGUAAUUUUUUUUUUGUAAUUUUUUUUUAAGAAAGAAAGAAAAAGAGAAGAAAAGAAGUGGUUGACACUGCCCAGGAUAUCUAUUUCGUAGGUGUUCAGCUGGGAAAAAAAAAAUGAGCCAUGUGUUAAACGUUAUUUUAAUUUUUUAUCAGCAGUCCAUGCAUAGAACAGCAACAUCUAGUCAGGAUUCAUAGUCUCAAAAUGGACUCACCUGCACUGUUUAAGGAGGAUUUUCUACAGGACUGGAGGAAGUCAGAUUAAGUGGGCAACAGCCCACCCUGUACUGUGUAAACAUGAGGCAGAUAAAAAUACCACAGGUCUACGUGGUCUCAUCCGUAAUUGUCACGAGGGGCAAUGGGGCCUACUUACACUCAUUUCCCUACCUCUCUUUUGGGGUUUCUUAAAUUUCAAAUGCUUUUUAUUGCCUUUCCAGCUGCAGGAGAGACAUUUGAAGCAGACUGCUAUUUUCACUGCCCGAUUUGCCGCGAUCCACUCAAAAUAUUUCCAGAGCUCCCCAGAAAUAUUUAAUUAGCAAAGGCUGAUGUUCAGCACUUCGUAAUCUUUCCCCAGCUGAACCAAAUCUGCACAAUUUACAAUAGAUCUCUGGAAAGCCGCUUUUUACCACAUGCUGCAUCUAUAGAUCUCUCUCAAUUACCCACAGUAAAUUUAGGCAUUGUACAAGAGCAAAUUUUACAGUCCAUGAAGAGAUGAAGUGAAAUCUAGAUGAAAUUCAUUGUGACAGAUUCUCAGUUAGUGCCCUGAUGUGUCUGUAUUACAGAAGAUAGACAUUCUAUUAGCAUGGAAGCUCCCAUAAUGGACUGUGAAUCAUUUCAGGUAAUAGAGAUGCCAACUGGAAUGACUGAAAAGCACUAUUGAAUUCCAUUAGAGCUCUUUGUUUUUAAAUCAGUCAUUUCUUUGAGAAUAUCCAACUAUAUACUUCUUGACCCUAGCUGAGAGUAAUAAUUGUGAACUAAUAUUACAAAACAUUAAUCUGAGUUACUGUUCAAUUAGUGCUUCUGCUAGAGGCUUAUUUUUAUGCUGCAGACGUGAAGCAGACCGGCUUGUAUUACAAAUAUGUAUUUGGACUCAAGCGAGUGCAGAAUGCAAUUUUCAGUUAUAUUUCUGUCUCCACUGUAUUCAGUCUCAUCUCAUUAGCUGUAAAAAGACUCGGGUAUUGGCUUUUCUUUUUCCGAAGUCAUCCUACCAGGAUAAAAUAACUAUAAUCAACAAAUCUAUAAAGAUAAACAUUUUUAUAAAGGACGCCACAAAUAGUCUUCUUUCAUUUAGGUGCUCGGUUAAUUAUGAGCAAAAUAACGAACACCAUAUCCUGCUAACCAAACAGCACCACCUUAUCUAUCAAUCACGUAUGAUUUAUCAGACUUGAUAAUUGCUUGGAUAAUUAACACAGAAUUUGGUUUACUUAGUGUGCUGAAACCUCAGAAAUGCCUGCAUAAUUGCCGUUUGCGUAGUAGAUGAAGUUAUGAAUAAUUCUUUUUCACAUAAAUAUGAAGGCUGGGUUGCAGGCAGUGCACAUUUCCUCACCCACCGCCAUUAAUGCAGAUAUCAUGUCAUACAAGUGGUACGGCAUUGUCACAUGCCUUCUGCUGGCUACACACACAUAGUUAAAGCAAUUAAAAUACGUAUUUAUAAAAAUAAGGCAAAAAAAAAUCUCUCCCUCUGUAAGUAAUGCGAGCUUCCUUCAUGAGGAAGUACAGAAGGAAGACUUGAAGGAAAAUUAGUCUACUCAGUACAGUGGCAACAGGAUCUGAAUCUCUGUAAUAUUCUCACAUAAAUCCUUUGGGAAGACUUUAAAAAGAGUAGGCUCUAUAUCUUCUGUCCACGAUCAUCUAUUUUCACAUCAGAAUGAGCAACAUUAUCCUUGUAUGCAGAGUAUCUGUGUCUACAGCUUGAAAAUGAGACUCUCCUUAAUGUUGUAAUGACAGGUGUAAGAUUAACUUUGUUAGGUGUCUAGCCACUCAUGCAAACUAAAUUAAAUUAAUGGAACAAAUUUCUCUCAUAAUUAAGAUAAAAAUUCAUGUCAGCUGUAACCUUGCUGUACACUAAUUAUAUACAAAUGAUUUAUCAUCUGCUUCGCCCAGAAUAUUAAUCCUCAACUCAUUGAUAACUGCAGCCAGUGUUAAGAGAUGAGAGUUGAUUAACUAUGACAGAUUGGGCAACCACAGCUCCAAGUGCCUGAACAACCAGUAAAACCAAUAAUAUUCAAACGGCAUUUCUUAUUUAAAAAUGCAUUCCCGUGGAAACUGAUGCAUGUUUAAUGAGGGAUAUGGAGAUUAUUUCCGCAAUGACUGAUAUUGGAGCAGUGGGAAGAACUAAUCGAUAACAAUUAAGCCCUUAGCCUGGUUAAGCUAUGGUUCUAUAAAGUGGGUUAUAUACACAUUAGUGAGAUACCGGUUCGGGCUCUGUUGCGUACAAUGUCUUCAUGCAAGACUCUUAUUUAUUUUUCCUACUGCAGAAAGUAUUGCGCCGUUUACGUGUUACACAAUCUCCAACAAAAAGAAGAUGAAAUGAUGCUGCCAACAGUCCUUUGAAAGCCCAAAUGGGAAUUCCAGUGAUAAUUAAGCUAUGGAAAAUGGUACCUUGUUAUGAAAAUGCUGUUCUACAAAAAAAAAAAAAAAAAGAGAGAGAGAGAGAAGAACCAACUCUUGAAGCAUCAUAUGUGAAAGAGGAUAAUCUUUCAUCUCCUGAAAUAUGACACAAUACUUCUAAUUUAAAUGACAAUUAUUAAAAUUAACUUGUGAAACCUUUAAGGAAAAGCUCUUACUUAGCUGGCAUAUUUUGGAGAAAAUCCUUGGUUAAUAAUGUAUCUUUUAAUGAAUUUAAAAAAAUGUAAAGUUGCAGACAUUAAAGAUUUACAGGUUUGGGCUUGGAUAUUUUUGGUACUAAUUCUAUCUCCUCAUGACAGCUCUCUUA